rnacentral:lncRNA from 1 species
AUGUUUGUGGUUUGGGGCGUACGAUCGAGAACAGAGGCCAAGGAAGAGCCAAAACCCUAACAUCCUAAAAUCAGCAGAUUGAGAAGGAAAUUAAAGGCUAAUCGAUUGCAUGUGACCAAUUUCUCAGUUAUCUAAGGGUUCUCCAUCAUAGGGUAAGUCGAAUUUUGUGAAUUGAUAUUAGGGGAUGAUAAUGGUUUUGAUUAAUCCAUGAGAUAGUAUGAAAUUGAACUUGUUUGUGAGUUAGAAUCACCAAAUAAAGGAUGUUUCAUGAAUAAUACUGAUUUGUUUGAAGGUUUGAAUAAAAACCCAUUUGGUUUAGUUGAAUAAGUGAACUUGUAGUGAAUUAACCAAGAGAUUUGGAUGGGUGAAUGCUAUGUGCAAAAAUACUAAUAGAUUAGUAUGUUGUAGAAUGAAUGAACUAUGUGCAUUUAGUCGAUUUAGUGAGUUAUGAGAUUACUAGUAAAAUUAUGCAUUGAAUACUUGUACAUAGUGCUUACAAUGUUAUACGCACGCCAAGUGUUCGAUUAAAUGCUUGAGUAGUUGAUUUAUGUAAUUUUGAAUGAAUAGGAAGUCUUGCGUUGUAUGUGGAAAUUAUGAAAGUUAUCUCCUGUGAAAAGUGUUAUGGAAUGCAUACUAUAUGUGAAUGCAAGAGUUAUGUAAGUGAAUGGUAUAGUCUAUAAACGGGAACGGAUCACGUAGAGAAUUGAAGUUAAAAGGUAAAAGUUUGUAUGUAGGAAACUAUUGCGUUAUGAACUCGUUAGUUGAUGUGUUAUGUACGGUAGUAGUAAAAUGUGAUGAUACAUAUCCCUUAUAUGCGUUAAUAAGCUAACGAAAGUUAAACAUUGUAUGAUUUGAAAGCCGAAUGAACGAAUGAUUGCAAGCUAACCGUGUUAUAAAUAUGAUGACAAGUAUGGAUAGGAGUCAUGUCAAUAGGGGCACAAAUAUGGAAGCGCUACGAGUUGAAGGCAAACACGGAAGCUACUUGUAAAUUCGGACGCACAGUGUAAGUAAACUCCCCGACUCUCUCCUUAGUAUUAAAUAGAGGUAAAUUGUAUGACAAAUGUCAGGAAAUGCUUUAUUGUCUCUGGAAGAAGUAAGAAGUUCUAAGGAAGUGAUUUUCGAAUCUCUUCCUAGACCAUUUUAGGAGGGCCUUAUGCUAGACACUUAAGUAUGGUAAUCUAAGUCUACUUGGGAUUUGGUUAUUGGGUAAAGGUGUUUGUUAAGUACCGAAUGGGUCAAAUAAGGGUAUGUUUCAUUAUGAAGCACUUGUACACAUAAUGUCGAGGGUAAUAUUUUAUUCAGAUAAUGUAAAAGUGUGAUAGUAUUAACGUUAUGUAGGUUUUAAAUUGGGUCAAAUAAGGGUAUGUUUCAUUAUGAAGCACUUGUACACAUAAUGUCGAGGGUAAUAUUUUAUUCAGAUAAUGUAAAAGUGUGAUAGUAUUAACGUUAUGUAGGUUUUAAAUGUACAUAUGUGAGAUGCUUGUCAAAGUCACGAAUGGGUCGAAUAAAUGUGCAUAAGUAACGUAUUGUUAAAUAAUUCGGAUAUAUAUGAAACCCCGGGGCAGGGAUUUUAAUUAGUUAUGUAAGGAAUGACUUUAUGAAUGAUUAGAUUUAAGUAUCAAGUGAUUCGGAUGCCAAACGAAUGAGUUAAGGGAGUUUUAAGGCUCAAAAAGGAAUGCAGGUCUGGCACCACCGUAAGUUACGGUGCCCACCGUAGCUUACGGUGGGUGUUGGCCUUUUCUUUUCUGUCGUAAGGCAGUAUAUAGUUACCGUAAGCCUUUUUGAGACUACCUUAAGUUACGGUAGUCACCGUAACUUACGGUAGAGCCCUGGCGCCCCGCGUAGGAAGUAGACAUGGCUGUCGCGACCCGCGACAAACCAUGCAGAUGGUACAUUAUUUGUGUUUGUUUGUUUUGUACGUGGAAUUAGUUGUAAAUGCUAUCCAGGGCCCCUUAAUUAAUGUUUAUGCUAGUUUUACAUGAAGUAAUGGUUACGGACCUCCGAUCCUCCACAAGGUACUCUAAUCCAUUUGAGACGUGUUUAGGAAACAUGAUCACGAUUAUGAUGAGUGAGUAAGAAUGUAAAGGAAUGGACCAAGUUUGGGGUUAUUUAUAUAUAUUCAUAUAUAUGUGCAUUUAUGCAUAUGAAAUAAAUUAUCAUCCAGUAGUUGGAACUCAUAGGUGUUUAUGACUAGAAGUAAGUAUACAUGUUAGGUCGUGUGUUCAUGGCCUACCUGUAUGGAACUCGUAAUUUGCAUACCUUAACAAGCUUAGUGGUAAUUUUAGUAUUAUAAGAAGUUGUAAGUUUGUACGGGGAUAUGUAAAUCAUGUGUGGAGGUUCAUGUCUUUGUAUACAUAUGUGUUCAUGCCUGUGUUUGUAGUAGGAUUCAUUACUUAUGAGUGAAGGGAAUUCGUGUAUCCUAUUAAUGUCGUUCUAAGGAUGAAGAAUCUGGAAUGCACGAAUGUACACAGAAAGCAUAUUCGUGAGGAUUAGAUUGGGAAGAAAGAACGCGGACUGGUUAUGGGUUACUUAUGUCUAGUUUAGGAAUGAUGUUAUUAAAUCUAACUGAUGCUCAUGUAUGUGGUGAAUGCAGGUGACGUAGACUUAGCUUCAUUAUGAAGAAAACUGGGAUUGAAGAUCGAGUUAAGAGUGAGGGUUGUACGGGAAGGGAUCGGUCACAUAGUUUGACAAUUAUAAGUCUUGAAGCAUUAAAAAAUGGAUCGUGGUAAAUCCUUUUCAAUGAAUGUAUGAAAUUUUGUAGUUGAACCUUCAUGUAAGUAUUAUGUCUAGUAAAGAAAGAAAUUUUUGG